rnacentral:rRNA from 1 species
UAGGGAAUCUUCCACAAUGGACGCAAGUCUGAUGGAGCAACGCCGCGUGAGUGAAGAAGGUUUUCGGAUCGUAAAGCUCUGUUGUUGGUGAAGAAGGAUAGAGGCAGUAACUGGUCUUUAUUUGACGGUAAUCAACCAGAAAGUCACGGCUAACUACGUGCCAGCAGCCGCGGUAAUACGUAGGUGGCAAGCGUUGUCCGGAUUUAUUGGGCGUAAAGCGGGCGCAGGCGGAAUGAUAAGUCUGAUGUGAAAGCCCACGGCUCAACCGUGGAACUGCAUCGGAAACUGUCAUUCUUGAGUGCAGAAGAGGAGAGUGGAAUUCCAUGUGUAGCGGUGGAAUGCGUAGAUAUAUGGAAGAACACCAGUGGCGAAGGCGGCGCUCUGGUCUGCAACUGACGCUGAGGCUUGAAAGCAUGGGUAGCGAACAGG